CCUAAUUCUCCAUCUCUUCACACAUCUCUUCACACAGCUCCGCUUCCUUCUAACCUAAAUCCUUCAGCCGCAUCUAUGUGAUCUCCCCAUCUGAUCGAUCUGAUCUCUUCAAAUGGUCCAUGAUCUUACUGCUCUUGAUCCUCGGUGUCGAUUUCAGGAACUAGGGUUAGAAUUAACGUCGCCGCCACUUUCUCUACCACAUCCGCUGAAGCAGAACCCUAGAGUUUGGUAGCAAAUGAAGAGUUUCAGCUUAAAAGAAGAUGCAUAUUUUGAGUUUAUUGCAGGGUAAACAUGUAAUUUUGAAUCCAACAAGACGAAUCAGUUUGAGACAUUUAAAACAAGCAUAUAACUAUAUAAGCAUGGCCAUCUAUGUGGUUAAGGUUUCAAAUUCUUUUGAAUUGAUGUGGCGUUAGCGGGGCGUACAAUGAAUCUGCAGCUGGAAAAGCAUACACAAAUUGUAAAACUAUCCCUUAUGAGCAGUUUGAUAUUGCAUUUCAGGUCAGCUCUUUAUGAGACUUUUUAGCCACUUCUACAAGUAAACAUAAAAAACGAGGAUCCGAACCAAUCUGAAAACAUAGAUGGCUGGUAGUAGCUUAUGUCACAACCUUUGUCGAGCUUGUAACUUAUCACCUAUCUUGCUACUUCUAUCUGAAAUCGUACUUUUGAUGAACUAUACGCAACUCUACUCUUGCUGAACGUGUUUUCGUUUUGCACAUAAUUUGUUUUAGGAUCAAGCCAAAAAAGCCCUAGAAAGUGCACUUGGUGGCAAGAAAAACGAGUUUGAGAAGUGGGACAAGGAAAUCAAGAAGAGAGAGGAAGCGGGUGGAGGCGGUGGUGGCGGCGGAGAUGGUUUGGUGGAUCAGACGGUUUCUACAACAUCUGAUGUCAGCACAAAUGAUGUGGUUUAUUCAAGGUUUCCUACACAUCAACCAGCUUAGAGAAAGGUCCCUCUUGCGGGUUAGACUACGACUUGGAUUCUUGGUUAGCUUGCAACUGACAUUUCAUGGAUCAGAUCACCACAUGGAGUUUUGGUCAGCUGUAACGAUUCAGGAGUUUUGGUCAGCUGUAUCGGGUCAGAUUACAUAUUAGUUGCAACUAUCAUCCUAAUACAUAUUCAGCAAGUACAUUGAAAUUCGGGUGGCCACACACAGUCAAUUUUAAUCAUCUGCGCUAUUACUUUGCUACUAUUUUUGCUUCGAGGUAAACCCUAACAUUUGCGUGCUUUAAUUUUUCGUAUUUGCUUUUGCUAUGUUGUGAUUUGGUAUCGAUAUCAGCAGGAUUAAGGCUCUUGAUGUUUGAUUUUAGAGUUAUACGUGCAAUUUUUGCUUGCAAUUUAGUUUAAGAAACCUUUAAAAACUGAAGGUUAGCUAGGUUUACGAGCUGAUAUCGACCAUUGUAAGCCAAAUUUUGUUUAUUUUUAUUUGUUUGGUCCAUUCGAGAAAAAACUACUUUAGAUCAAAUUACUGCAUUCUUUGGUUUCUGGUUUAGUAUAUGCAUCCUAUGAAGUUGUAUGAGUUAUAAUUUGACUUAAUUUGUCGAAGACAUAAAUUCCUAUUAUAAAUAAAAAACAAAUAAUAAAGAUUUAAAUAAGGGAUAUGACUUUUUAGGAACCUCAGUUGUAAAAAGCAUUCAAAAGAUGUCAAUCACAUAUUAAAUCAACUAUGUAAAGUGUUAUAUAUGUUUUAUAACAGGUCUACAUGCAUUGGCCCAUUAUUCAACCUGCUAUUUCAUAUUUUUUAACAAGCUAAUUAGAAUAAGAGACUACAAAUACCUUGAUUUUUUUAAUAUUUUUUUACCCUUUAUUGUUUUGGAUUGUUUGUUACUGCGGAUGAGAUCAAUGUGGGCAUCUCAGUCGACUAGACUACAAAUAAACCAUUGAAAGGUAAUAUUCCUUCGAUUAAUCGUUAGAAGCUGGUCUUUCCUCCUUUAUUGUUUAGGCUUGUGUAUUAAUGAUUUCCCCGUUUUUACCUUUGUUCAAGUGUGUUUUCUUUUGCUAUGUUUUUCAAGUGAGUUAGUUGAAUUUGGAAAAAGGAAUACCUUCUUUUGUUGUUUUCAUGCGUAAGGCGUAAAUUGUGACUAUAAAAUAAUAGUAUUGGGCUGAAUGGGUCAAACUUGAUACAUGGAACACUUUCUAUUGUGGGCAAGAUAGGUGGAUUCCAGGUCAAAAUAAGUUACAAAAAUAGGGUUGCCAAACAGUUAGUUAGCAAAAGAGUUAUUUUAACUUUAAUGCAUAUAGAUUUCUGCUUUGUUUUUAUUCAGAAAUUUAAAAUGUUAAUUGUUGUAUUAUAACAGUUAUAAUAAUAUUUAACAUAAUAUAUAUUAAGCAAAAAAAUUACAUUAGGUGGAAAAUUUGGUAGUCUAUAUUUGUUGUUCCAAAAAUUAGUGGAAGUUUCAACCUGAAAAAGGAUGCAAUUUGUUUUUGUUGUUUUACACCAAGUAUCAAGCUUAAUCAUCCUUUGAUCGGGUAGGUUUUCAACUUGAUCUAUGUUAAGUUUUUGAUUCAGCUAAGAUUUCGUGUUUUAUUAUGCAGAUAUGCAAUGAUAAAGAUCAAGCAAAUUCAUGGUUUCGUGGCUUAAAACUGUACUUUACUCGCUUUGUUGUUUUAAAAUUAAGGAAUUUGAAUUGAGUUGUAGUCAUAUAAGUUUAAUAAAUUUUGGCCUUAUUGAGUUUUUACACUAUAAUUUGUUUAACUAAGUGAUAUUAAGCCUAUAAUAAUUGAUUUUGUUAUGUUUCAUGUUGA